GACGUAGGGCGCGAGCGUUGUCCGGAUUUAUUGGGCGUAAAGAGCUCGUAGGCGGCUUGUCGCGUCGACUGUGAAAUCUCGUGGCUCAACUACGGGGUUGCGGUCGAUACGGGCAGGCUAGAGUUCGGUAGGGGAGACUGGAAUUCCUGGGUGUAGCGGUGAAAUGCGCAGAUAUCAGGAGGAACACCGGUGGCGAAGGCGGGUCUCUGGGCAUGAUCUGACGCUGAGGAGCGAAAGUGUGGGGAGCGAACAGGA
rnacentral:rRNA from 1 species